UGGGGAAUAUUGCACAAUGGAGGGAACUCUGAUGCAGCGACGCCGCGUGAACGAAGAAGGCUUUCGAGUCGUAAAGUUCUUUUAUAUGGGAAGAUAAUGACGGUACCAUAAGAAAAAGCCACGGCUAACUACGUGACAGCAGCCGCGGUAAUACGUAGGGGGCUAGCGUUGUCCGGAAUCACUGGGCGUAAAGGGUUCGCAGGCGGAAGGGCAAGUCAGGUGUAAAAGGCAGUAGCUUAACUACUGUAAGCAUUUGAAACUGCAUAUCUUGAGAGGAGUAGAGGUAAGUGGAAUUUUUAGUGUAGCGGUGAAAUGCGUAGAUAUUAAAAAGAAUACCGGUGGCGAAGGCGGCUUACUGGGCUCAUUCUGACGCUGAGGAACGAAAGCGUGGGUAGCAAACAGG
rnacentral:rRNA from 1 species